AUUGAACGCUGGCGGCAGGCCUAACACAUGCCAGUCGAACGGUAACAGGAAGAAGCUUGCUUCUUUGCUGACGAGUGGCGGACGGGUGAGUCAUGUCUGGGACACUGCCUGAUGGAGGGGGAUAACUACUGGAACCGGUAGCUAAUACCGCAUAACUUCGCAACACCAAAGAGGGGGACCUUCGGGCCUCUUGCCAUCCGAUGUGCCCAGAUGGGAUUCGCUAGUAGGUGGGGUAACGGCUCACCUAGGCCACGAUCCCUAGCUGGUCUGAGAGGAUGACCAGCCACACUGGAACUGAGACACGGUCCAGACUCCUACGGGAGGCAGCAGUGGGGAAUAUUGCACAAUGGGCGCAAGCCUGAUGCAGCCAUGCCGCGUGUAUGAAGAAGGCCUUCGGGUUGUAAAGUACUUUCAGCGGGGAGGAAGGGAGUAAAGUUAAUACCUUUGCUCAUUGACGUUACCCGCAGAAGAAGCACCGGCUAACUCCGUG
rnacentral:rRNA from 1 species